UACGGGGGGGGCAAGCGUUGUUCGGAAUUACUGGGCGUAAAGGGCUCGUAGGCGGCCAACUAAGUCAGACGUGAAAUCCCUCGGCUUAACCGGGGAACUGCAUCUGAUACUGGAUGGCUUGAGAUUGGGAGAGGGAUGCGGAAUUCCAGGUGUAGCGGUGAAAUGCGUAGAUAUCUGGAGGAACACCGGUGGCGAAGGCGGCAGCCUGGACCAACACUGACGCUGAGGAGCGAAAGCCAGGGGAGCAAACGGG
rnacentral:rRNA from 1 species